AUAUAGCUUGGCAAAUAGUCAUAUUUUUAAACAUACUGUAUAGUGAAAUUGCAUUAGUGUGAGUACUGUGAACGCGCCAGCUUUUGAUAACCGACCUAUACACGAAGCAAUUUUCUUGCCUGUAGCCGUAAAUAGAGUAUAGAACUAGAUGAGCUUCUAAAAUGACAAUAAUAACUAAAGAGAGAAGGCAUUAACGUGAAAUACUUAAGUGAGAGCAAAACAAAGUAUCAGUUUUUCUCUCUCUAUUUGCGUAUCGGGUUUUAUUUGUUUACCACCGAACCCUUGGUGGUUGUUUGGUUUAAACAAGUUUUCACCGCUUACUGAUCUGUGAAACCCAAGUCAAACCCAUAUUUUAAGACUUUAUCCUUAUAGAUAAAGUCUUAAAAUCGUAAAAAGUCUUAAAUAAUUAAUAUUUUAAGACUUUAUCCUUAUAGAUAAAGUCUUAAAAUAUGGGUUAGAGGUGUAUUUAAAGUGUCAGUGAUGGUGAAUUGUUGCAUAAUUGGCUGUAAAAGCUAUAGUGAACGUAAAGAACCAAACAUAACCUUUCAUCGCUAAGUAGCUUAUUUUGUCACGACUCAGUAACUUUGUUCAAGAAUUAUUCAUUCGAAUGUGUAUUUUGGUCAAUAAUAAGCAAUCUUCAAUGAAAAAAUUAAAAAACUGUAAAUACGACAUAUGUCAAUCAUUCGCUAUCUCACACAUUAUACGCUGAUGCCUGGUCUAUACUAUACCAUAGUCCGUGUACAGUAAUUUGUGACUUAAAGCGCCACUUAGGGCCAGUUUUUUGAUCCGUAGUAAAAAAUGGUUUAACCAUUUGUUACAUUAACUAUAGUUUAAUGAAUAACCAUUGGUAAAAUCGUAAAUGCGUUUUUCAAUGUCUAUUUUAACUAUAGUUAAACUUAACAAUUGGUCAAUUUGUUGCCAGUGCACUGAGCAAUGACAUCCCAAAAAAUGUGGUUCUUUUUUGUGGGGAACAUUUAUUUUGUAUGACAACACUAGACAUAUUGAGUGAAUGAAAUCCAUUUUUGCCAUCUUCAUUCGUUAUUUGCGCUUUGAAGAGUUUGAAGUGUCAAAUUAAUCUAAAUAACACGAUAUAAAUAAAGUUGUUUUUCUGUGUUUUAAUACGGUUUACACCUUUUACGAUACUUAAAUAUAUAAAUAACGAUGUCCGCAAACAGCCAACGGUCAAACAAGGACCAUACUGCUAACUUCGCCAAAAAGAAACUGCCAAACUGGUGAUGCUUCUCAAGGAUUAUACAGUCGUAACCUGCAAACAACUGAUCACUGCAGCAAUCUACAAAAAGAUGCAGCUUGGAAAUCUCUGUGAUGUUUUCAACUCAGAUGGGUCUAGACACCGAAGUCUGUGUCCUACAACAAAAGGAAAAUUCUUUUAACCCUUUGGAAACAAGAAAGCGGAUUAUGAUCCACUCGCAUAAAAAAAUUGAGGUUUUGAAACAAAAACAAGCAAAAAGAUAGCAUGAUUUCUCCAAUUAUGCUAAGGAAGAGCAUCAAAAACAUUUGCUGCACAAAGAAGAGGCCCACCAAAAAUCCAUGCUGCA